CGAGCGAAGCGGGAAGAGCUCAAAUUUAUAAUCUGGCACCUUCGGUGUCCGAGUUGUAAUCUCUAGAAGUGUUUUCCGCGUUGGACCGCACACAAGUCUGUUGGAAUACAGCGGCAUAGUGGUGAAACCCCCGUAUAUGGUGCGGACGCCCAGCGCUUUGUGAUACACUUUCAAUGAGUCGAGUUGUUUGGGAAUGCAGCUCAAAUUGGGUGGUAAAUUCCAUCUAAAGCUAAAUAUUGGCGAGAGACCGAUAGCGAACAAGUACCGUGAGGGAAAGAUGAAAAGCACUUUGGAAAGAGAGUUAACAGUACGUGAAAUUGUUGGAAGGGAAACGCUUGAAGUCAGACUUGCUUGCCGGAGCUUGCUUCGGUUUGCAGGCCAGCAUCAGUUUUCCGGGGUGGAUAAUGACGGUUUGAAGGUAGCAGUCUCGGCUGUGUUAUAGCUUUCCGUUGGAUACAUCCUGGGGGACUGAGGAACGCAGCGUGCUUUUUGCGAAAGACUCGUCUUUUUCACGCUUAGGAUGCUGGUGGAAUGGCUUUAAACGACCCGUCUUG
rnacentral:rRNA from 1 species